rnacentral:tRNA from 1 species
UCCCUGGUGGCUCAGAGGGCAAAGAAUCUGCCUGCAGUGCAGGAGACCCAGGUUCAAUCCUGGGCCAGGAAG